rnacentral:rRNA from 1 species
GACGAACGCUGGCGGCGUGCUUAACACAUGCAAGUCGAACGGAAAGGCCCUGCUUUUGUGGGGUGCUCGAGUGGCGAACGGGUGAGUAACACGUGAGUAACCUGCCCUUGACUUUGGGAUAACUUCAGGAAACUGGGGCUAAUACCGGAUAGGAGCUCCUGCUGCAUGGUGGGGGUUGGAAAGUUUCGGCGGUUGGGGAUGGACUCGCGGCUUAUCAGCUUGUUGGUGGGGUAGUGGCUUACCAAGGCUUUGACGGGUAGCCGGCCUGAGAGGGUGACCGGCCACAUUGGGACUGAGAUACGGCCCAGACUCCUACGGGAGGCAGCAGUGGGGAAUAUUGCACAAUGGGCGGAAGCCUGAUGCAGCAACGCCGCGUGCGGGAUGACGGCCUUCGGGUUGUAAACCGCUUUCGCCUGUGACGAAGCGUGAGUGUCGGUAAUGGGUAAAGAAGCACCGGCUAACUACGUGCCAGCAGCCGCGGUGAUACGUAGGGUGCGAGCGUUGUCCGGAUUUAUUGGGCGUAAAGGGCUCGUAGGUGGUUGAUCGCGUCGGAAGUGUAAUCUUGGGGCUUAACCCUGAGCGUGCUUUCGAUACGGGUUGACUUGAGGAAGGUAGGGGAGAAUGGAAUUCCUGGUGGAGCGGUGGAAUGCGCAGAUAUCAGGAGGAACACCAGUGGCGAAGGCGGUUCUCUGGGCCUUUCCUGACGCUGAGGAGCGAAAGCGUGGGGAGCGAACAGGCUUAGAUACCCUGGUAGUCCACGCUGUAAACGGUGGGUACUAGGUGUGGGGUCCAUUCCACGGGUUCCGUGCCGUAGCUAACGCUUUAAGUACCCCGCCUGGGGAGUACGGCCGCAAGGCCAAAACUCAAAGGAAUUGACGGGGCCCCGCACAAGCGGCGGAGCAUGCGGAUUAAUUCGAUGCAACGCGUAGAACCUUACCUGGGUUUGACAUGGAUCGGGAGCGCUCAGAGAUGGGUGUGCCUCUUUUGGGGUCGGUUCACAGGUGGUGCAUGGCUGUCGUCAGCUCGUGUCGUGAGAUGUUGGGUUAAGUCCCGCAACGAGCGCAACCCUUGUUCACUGUUGCCAGCACGUUAUGGUGGGGACUCAGUGGAGACCGCCGGGGUCAACUCGGAGGAAGGUGGGGAUGACGUCAAGUCAUCAUGCCCCUUAUGUCCAGGGCUUCACGCAUGCUACAAUGGCUGGUACAGAGAGUGGCGAGCCUGUGAGGGUGAGCGAAUCUCGGAAAGCCGGUCUCAGUUCGGAUUGGGGUCUGCAACUCGACCUCAUGAAGUCGGAGUCGCUAGUAAUCGCAGAUCAGCAACGCUGCGGUGAAUACGUUCCCGGG